GGACUACACGGGUAUCUAAUCCUGUUUGCUCCCCACGCUUUCGCGCAUCAGCGUCAGUAACGGGCCAGUGAGUCGCCUUCGCCACUGGUGUUCUUCCGAAUAUCUACGAAUUUCACCUCUACACUCGGAGUUCCACUCACCUCUCCCGCACUCAAGAUGUCCAGUAUCGAAGGCAAUUCCAGGGUUGAGCCCUGGGCUUUCACCCCCGACUUAAACAUCCGCCUACGCGCCCUUUACGCCCAGUAAUUCCGAGCAACGCUAGCCCCCUUCGUAUUACCGCGGCGGCUGGCAC
rnacentral:rRNA from 1 species